GGUAGGAGCCUCAUGUGUGGCCGGGCAGGGGUGGGACUUUCAGCUAUCUCCCGAACCCCUGAACGGAUUUGUAUGAUUUUUGAGUAUGUUUGUCCCAUAGUUAUGCUUGUUCGGAAAACACAAGUUUUAUUAAAAUUGCAUGUAUAGUUUUGGUGUUAUGAAAAUUGAGUAUAUACAUAGCCUGGUCUCGUUAUUGAAGGGAACCUGAAUCCAGCUAAAUCACUACCUCUUGUAAGAGCUCUGCCUUUCUCUCUCUACUCUGAUCCAGCUGAUGGGAUAUCG